GUGUUCAAUCAUAAUAUUUCUUGUUAAUGGUGGUGAUUAGGAAUUGGGCAUGAAUCAAAUCCAUAGGCAGAGAGAGAUUCCUUCAAAGAAUUGGGUAUGAGUUUCAUUUCAUUUUUACAUUUUUCUCUUAUUGAUCUUCACAAAAUGAGAUUUCUCUAUACAAUAGCCUGUCAACAACUUCCAACCCUUUGUACUUCUCUAAACAGUAUUAUGCAGGCACAUACCUGUUGGUGAAGAAAGAUUCCAUUUUUGUCAUACAACGUUUGAAACCACUUACUACAACUCUUCCUGCUUCAAUACAUCUAUCUUUAUAGUCCAAUGGUCACCAAAAGGCUAUUAACUCCAGAAUCAGGAGGGCGCCCAGGAUAGUUGACAUUGAAAUCCAAUUUGCAAUGGCAGAAUUUGGUAGGUAUGGGUAUUCAUCAGGAAGUGGCAUCAUACAUUCAUCUCCAUUGAAGUAGACUUUCCUUGGAAAAGCCCAUCCCUGAUUAAAUGUGAAUGUGUUCGUAUCCUUCUCAAGAAUCAAUUCUGACUGCACAUUUCCAUCUGGUCCGGCUUCCAUUAGGACAUCAUUAUAGAAUUUUAUACCAUAAAACAUUCCUGAGUCGUCUGCAUAUUCAAUUCAAUAUAGAGCAUUAGAAUUAGCCUAAUUAGCAGAUUCUUCAGUUGCAUGGUUUGCCUACUGAUCCUGCAGAAAUUCUACUAAUAGGAAAGCUAUUCAGGAAUUUUUUUUGAGGGAAGUUCUUAUGGACUU
rnacentral:misc_RNA from 1 species